UGUGGGAUUGUCAUGGUGGGGUUCCGCAAAACUAUUUUUCAGAACUGGAUCUGUCAUUGAAUGAUUUGGAGAUUGGACAAAACCAGUUGAU
rnacentral:ribozyme from 1 species